rnacentral:tRNA from 1 species
GUGGAUUAAGGCAGUGGAUUGUGAAUUCACCAUGCGCGGGUUCAAUUCCCGUCGUUCGCC